UAACACAUGCAAGUCGAACGNGUAACAGGAAGAAGCUUGCUUCUUUGCUGACGAGUGGCGGACGGGUGAGUAAUGUCUGGGAAACUGCCUGAUGGAGGGGGAUAACUACUGGAAACGGUAGCUAAUACCGCAUAACGUCGCAAGACCAAAAAGGGGGACCUUCGGGCCUCUUGCCAUCGGAUGUGCCCAGAUGGGAUUAGCUAGUAGGUGGGGUAACGGCUCACCUAGGCGACGAUCCCUAGCUGGUCUGAGAGGAUGACCAGCCACACUGGAACUGAGACACGGUCCAGACUCCUACGGGAGGCAGCAGUGGGGAAUAUUGCACAAUGGGCGCAAGCCUGAUGCAGCCAUGCCGCGUGUAUGAAGAAGGCCUUCGGGUUGUAAAGUACUUUCAGCGGGGAGGAAGGGAGUAAAGUUAAUACCUUUGCUCAUUGACGUUACCCGCAGAAGAAGCACCGGCUAACUCCGUGCCAGCAGCCGCGGUAAUACGGAGGGUGCAAGCGUUAAUCGGAAUUACUGGGCGUAAAGCGCACGCAGGCGGUUUGUUAAGUCAGAUGUGAAAUCCCCGGGCUCAACCUGGGAACUGCAUCUGAUACUGGCAAGCUUGAGUCUCGUAGAGGGGGGUAGAAUUCCAGGUGUAGCGGUGAAAUGCGUAGAGAUCUGGAGG
rnacentral:rRNA from 1 species